rnacentral:rRNA from 1 species
AAUAGAUACCCAGGUAGUCCACGCCGUAAACGAUGAAUACUAGGUGUCGGAGGGUACCACCUUCGGUGCCGCAGCAAACGCAAUAAGUAUUCCGCCUGGGGAGUACGGUCGCAAGAUUAAAACUCAAAGGAAUUGACGGGGACCCGCACAAGCAGCGGAGCAUGUGGUUUAAUUCGAAGCAACGCGAAGAACCUUACCUAGACUUGACAUCUCCUGAAUUACUCGUAAUGGAGGAAGCCCUUCGGGGCAGGAAGACAGGUGGUGCAUGGUUGUCGUCAGCUCGUGUCGUGAGAUGUUGGGUUAAGUCCCGCAACGAGCGCAACCCUUGUUGUUAGUUGCUACCAUUAAGUUGAGCACUCUAACGAGACUGCCGCGGUUAACGCGGAGGAAGGUGGGGAUGACGUCAAAUCAUCAUGCCCCUUAUGUCUAGGGCUACACACGUGCUACAAUGGCCGGUACAGAAAGAUGCAAACCCGUGAGGGGAGCUAAACUCCAAAGCCGGUCCCAGUUCGGAUUGUAGGCUGAAACUCGCCUACAUGAAGUUGGU